rfam:Zea mays cultivar B73 chromosome 5, whole genome shotgun sequence.
AUACCUUUCUCGGCCUUUUGGCUAAGAUCAAGUGUAAUAUCUGUUUUUAUCAGUUUAAUAUCUGAUAUGUGGGCUAUGUGCCUACUUCGAUAUUAAAUUUAUUUUUUGUAGGAGAGGGUCCAUUGCCGGUGGCUUGCCCUUGGGGGCUCUCAUGCGUCGUCCAGCUAUUGCACUCUGCUGGCCGGACCUGGCGCACCCCAA